UAGGGAAUCUUCGGCAAUGGGGGCAACCCUGACCGAGCAACGCCGCGUGAGUGAAGAAGGUUUUCGGAUCGUAAAGCUCUGUUGUAAGAGAAGAACGUGUGUGAGAGUGGAAAGUUCACACAGUGACGGUAACUUACCAGAAAGGGACGGCUAACUACGUGCCAGCAGCCGCGGUAAUACGUAGGUCCCGAGCGUUGUCCGGAUUUAUUGGGCGUAAAGCGAGCGCAGGCGGUUUAAUAAGUCUGAAGUUAAAGGCAGUGGCUUAACCAUUGUUCGCUUUGGAAACUGUUAAACUUGAGUGCAGAAGGGGCGAGUGGAAUUGCAAGUGUAGCGGUGAAAUGCGUAGAUAUAUGGAGGAACACCGGUGGCGAAAGCGGCUGUCUGGUCUGUAACUGACGCUGAGGCUCGAAAGCGUGGGGAGCAAACAGG
rnacentral:rRNA from 1 species